AUGGUGUGCUUGUCUGAUGGACAGGGCAGCUUAGGGGAAUAAGUCUCUGCAGCGUUGUAGUGAAGAGAGAAUACGGGACAACUGCAGGACCACAGCUCAGCCAAGACACAACCACAUGACUGAAGACAGAGAUCAUCUGGGUCAGUGUUUCAGAAAAUGUUGCCAAGAAACUUCAAAUGCAGAUUCCUGGACCUCCGUGCAAACUACUAUAUUAGAAGCUCCCUUGCAGCUGAGUUGGCCAUAUGACUGACAGCAAGCCCUGGAAUGCAGCCAGAAGUGAUAGAAGCCUCUUUCACACCAUGCUCCUAAAAUAUUCCAAGAAAUUUUCCAAACCUACUCUUUUUAGUCUGUGCAUCUGGAAGUGAAAGUUUUAGAAAGGGUAAAGUCACUUAAUGGAAAGGGCCCAGAUCUAGCCCCUCGGAGCCAAGCUGUCCAACUAGAAAUUCUGCAUUAGUAUUUGCGACCCCAGUAAAAAAAAAAAAGUCCCACAAAGAUGUAGGAUCUCACUUUGCCUGCGUUAAUUCCCUGUCCUUUGCCCAGUUUCUCCUCUCUUGGAAGGCAGAGGCAGCUUCUGAUUUU
rnacentral:lncRNA from 10 species